rnacentral:rRNA from 1 species
UACGAAGGGGGCGAGCGUUAUUCGGAAUCACUGGGCGUAAAGCGUGUGUAGGCUGUUUGGCAAGUUGGAAGUGAAAGCCCAGGGCUCAACCCUGGAAUUGCUUUCAAAACUGCCAGACUCGAAUCUCGGAGAGGAUAGCGGAAUUUCCAGUGUAGUAGUGAAAUACGUAGAUAUUGGAAGGAACACCAGUGGCGCAAGCGGCUAUCUGGACGAGUAUUGACGCUGAGGCACGAAAGCGUGGGGAUCAAACAGG